rnacentral:rRNA from 1 species
GGAUCUCCGUAGUGACCUGCGGAGGGAUCAUUACACAAAUAUGAAGGCGGGCUGGAACCUCUCGGGGUUACAGCCUUGCUGAAUUAUUCACCCUUGUCUUUUGCGUACUUCUUGUUUCCUUGGUGGGUUCGCCCACCACUAGGACAAACAUAAACCUUUUGUAAUUGCAAUCAGCGUCAGUAACAAAUUAAUAAUUACAACUUUCAACAACGGAUCUCUUGGUUCUGGCAUCGAUGAAGAACGCAGCGAAAUGCGAUAAGUAGUGUGAAUUGCAGAAUUCAGUGAAUCAUCGAAUCUUUGAACGCACAUUGCGCCCUUUGGUAUUCCAAAGGGCAUGCCUGUUCGAGCGUCAUUUGUACCCUCAAGCUUUGCUUGGUGUUGGGCGUCUUGUCUCUAGCUUUGCUGGAGACUCGCCUUAAAGUAAUUGGCAGCCGGCCUACUGGUUUCGGAGCGCAGCACAAGUCGCACUCUCUAUCAGCAAAGGUCUAGCAUCCAUUAAGCCUUUUUUUCAACUUUUGACCUCGGAUCAGGUAGGGAUACCCGCUGAACUUAA